AAUCGAGGUCGUCACGAGAAAACUGAAGACAAAGCUGGCGACUCUGCCUAAGCGAGGUCCUCAACUCUUCUCUCUGCUUGCCCAAAACUGAUAUGCAGAGAGGUAAUCGUUGCGAAAUUGAUGAUGGGUCCAGCCUCCAUGAUGUAGUGGUCACCAAAUUGAGUGGAAUUUAGUUUGAUUUGUUGGAAUUGUGUGAACGACGACAUUUGAGUUGGUGGAGAAAGGAAGUGUAAAGAGGAUGCGUUGAAAAUUUGGAAACAUCAAGGGAUUCUUUUGGCAGAGGAGUUGAAGGGUUAGAAGCAGUUAGGUGCACAAAUGGCAAGGAAGGUGCACAUCACCGCAUUGGUUACUGAAAAGGAGUAUGGAUACAUGUGAAAAAACAAAUAAAGGAAAUUUGUACUGGAUAAUUUGUCUUUGUGCCAAAAUCAUGAGUUGCUUAGGUGAAAUACAAAUCUGUUUUUAUUA